rnacentral:lncRNA from 1 species
GGGGUGGAGCCUGGGAGCGCGCGAUGGGAUUGGGGCCGAAGCCGGGGUAGACUCCUCAAGCCCUGGACCUCCCCUGCUUAUGGAGCAGAUUUCCUGGCACAAUAAACCUAACUUCCCAGAGCGCUGGUUCCUCAGCUUUAAACAGGGAAAGCGUUUUUCUUAAACCUCUGCAUCUGGAGUCUUUACGUAACCAGACCAACGGCAG